rnacentral:tRNA from 1 species
GGAGGGGUGACCGAAUUGGCAAGGAGCCGGUCUCGAAAACCGGUAAGGCCUUAUGGCCCUGUGGGUUCGAGUCCCACCUCCUCCGCCA